CUCCUCCUGCAUCAAUUUCAUUGUGUGAUUUACAUUUACAAUCACAGUAGGAGGGAAGUACUGAUCAACAGCACCUUCACCAAUAUUGCCUACACUUCCUCGAGCAACAAUUUCAGCACCUUUGUCUAGGGCAUCAUUUACUAGGUAUUGAAGCUUUUCAGAAUGCUCUUGCAUGCAUAUGGCUCCCAUGUCAUACUUCCCGGACAGAGGAGGUCCCUACAAUAAAAUUCAGUUUCGAGUAUAUAAGUAUUUUAGAAAAAUCAGACUACGCUAGCAUAAUCACGAAUUUCAAAGCCAUUAGCAAGAGAAUAAGUAGUUUGCUGCAUAGGAUUCAGGCAAUUAUUGUGUAUUUAUCUCUCAAUUCUAGGCAAACUCAUAUUCUACCGCUCACAAUUAUAGCAAACCAAAAUUUUAGAUAGGAUCAGUAAGCCAUCUAACUAAGAAGCCAAAAAGCCACUAUGAUUUAAAAAAAUGCUAUGUUUCAUGAGAGAAUAAAGAUCUUAUAAUGCAUCGAGUUAAUAAUAUGGUACAAAUGAGAAAUGUUACAUACGGCAGUAACCGAUUUCACAAUUUUAACAACUGCAGCAACAAAAGAAGAGUAAAUGUCCUUGUGAACAUAAAACCGCUCUGCACCAGCACAAUUCUGUCCGCUUGAUUGCAGAGCUCCUCUAGCAGCAAUUUGUGCAACCUGCAUCAAAUUUCAUUAGUUCUUUAAAGAGUCAUCAGAAAAAAAGAUAUAGUUGAAUGAUCUUCUUUUAACUCCUCAUAGAGAUUUAAAAGAUCUUCCUAUCAUAGUUGAAAGCAAUCAAAUGUACUUGACCCCCAAAACAAAAGCAAACUGGAAAAAGUUUAUACAUGUGGAACAUCAACAUCUUCACACACAAUAAACGCGUCUUUCCCACCAAGCUCAAGGGUAACUGGUAUCAGUGUAUCUGAAGCACUCCGCAUAAUCUGUAGAACAUUAAGUCAAAACAUUAGAAUUUAUAAUUCAUAGGAAAAGAAAAGAAAAGUUAAUCAAAGGUAUAAAGAAAGAUGAAAAUGGAAGUUGUCACUCCAGAUCAGAUCAGAGAAUAUANCAAAAAAAAAAAAAAAGGUAGGGUGACUUCUGGCUGUAGAAGGGAGAAGGUAAGGAAGCAAACUUCUAGUUCGUCAAAUUUGCAAAUGUGGACAUCUAAAGGCAGAAAGAAGAGCUUUUUUGUUCUCCUUUGAUGUAAGGUUAAGAAAUAAUAAGACCAUGUGGGAUCUGCACUUAAUUUCACGUAGACUGUUAGACUUGAGCAAAGGAUCCUUGUCACUGGAAAUAGUAGUAAUGAUGGAAAAAAAUAUGGCAAUCAGUAAUGAGGUUCACAAAAUCUCUCCAAUUUGUAUGCAUACCCCUCCAUCAUCAUAGCAAAUAGUCACGUAUAAGCAUGUCAAACUCUUCAAUAAAAUGCCUUAAGAGACUGGUGCCCAUAGGUACCUGACACAUGUAAUUUGAUGCAAAGUCAUUGACAGCAGCCACUCCACAAUGUAAUUGUGAAGCUAUCUGCCUGGCACGACGCUGACUGCCUGAAAAUACAGCACAGCCAAGCCCAUAACUUGAAUCAUUUGCAAGCUGAACAGCUUCUUCAUCAGAGCUGAAUUUCAUUAUUGGCAAUAUGGGUCCAAAAGCCUGUUGAGCAAUUACCAUACGGAGUUAGCCAUACCACCUUUAUCUCAUUAGUAACUAAAACAAUAAGCUAUCAACUGAUGAUACCUCCUCCUGCAUCAAUUUCAUUGUGUGAUUUACAUUUACAAUCACAGUAGGAGGGAAGUACUGAUCAACAGCACCUUCACCAAUAUUGCCUACACUUCCUCGAGCAACAAUUUCAGCACCUUUGUCUAGGGCAUCAUUUACUAGGUAUUGAAGCUUUUCAGAAUGCUCUUGCAUGCAUAUGGCUCCCAUGUCAUACUUCCCGGACA
rnacentral:lncRNA from 1 species